rnacentral:rRNA from 1 species
AUUAUACGGCGAAACUGCGAAUGGCUCAUUAAAUCAGUUAUCGUUUACUUGAUAGCCCCUUACUACUUGGAUAACCGUGGUAAUUCUAGAGCUAAUACAUGCUGAAAACCCCGACUUCGGAAGGGUUGUAUUUAUUAGAUUAAAAACCAAUGCCCCUCGGGGCUCACUGGUGAUUCAUGAUAACUUCUCGAAUCGCACGGCCUUGCGCCGGCGAUGGCUCAUUCAAAUUUCUGCCCUAUCAACUUUCGACGGCUGGAUCUGGGCCCGCCAUGGUGACAACGGGUAACGGAGGGUUAGGGCUCGGCCCCGGAGAAGGAGCCUGAGAAACGGCUACUACAUCCAAGGAAGGCAGCAGGCGCGCAAAUUACCCAAUCCCGACUCGGGGAGGUAGUGACAAUAAAUACUGAUACAGGGCUCUUUUGGGUCUUGUAAUUGGAAUGAGUACAAUUUAAUUCCCUUAACGAGGAACAAUUGGAGGGCAAGUCUGGUGCCAGCAGCCGCGGUAAUUCCAGCUCCAAUAGCGUAUAUUAAAGUUGUUGCAGUUAAAAAGCUCGUAGUUGAACCUUGGGCCUGGCUGGCCGGUCCGCCUCACCGCGUGCACUGGUCCGGCCGGGUCUUUCCCUCUGGGGAGCCGCAUGCCCUUCACUGGGCGUGCCGGGGAACCAGGACAUUUACUUUGAAAAAAUUAGAGUGUUCAAAGCAGGCUUAUGCUCGAAUACAUUAGCAUGGAAUAAUAGAAUAGGACGCGCGGUUCUAUUUUGUUGGUUUCUAGGACCGCCGUAAUGAUUAAUAGGGACAGUCGGGGGCAUCAGUAUUCAAUAGUCAGAGGUGAAAUUCUUGGAUCUAUUGAAGACUAACUACUGCGAAAGCAUUUGCCAAGGAUGUUUUCAUUAAUCAGGAACGAAAGUUAGGGGAUCGAAGACGAUCAGAUACCGUCGUAGUCUUAACCAUAAACUAUGCCGACUAGGGAUCGGACGAUGUUAUUUUUUGACUCGUUCGGCACCUUACACGAAAGUACAAGUUUCUGGGUUCUGGGGGGAGUAUGGUCGCAAGGCUGAAACUUAAAGAAAUUGACGGAAGGGCACCACCAGGGGUGGAGCCUGCGGCUUAAUUUGACUCAACACGGGGAAACUCACCAGGUCCAGACACGAUGAGGAUUGACAGAUUGAGAGCUCUUUCUUGAUUUCGUGGGUGGUGGUGCAUGGCCGUUCUUAGUUGGUGGAGUGAUUUGUCUGCCUAAUCGCGAUAACGAACGAGACCUUAACCUGCUAAAUAGCCCGCGCUGCUCUGGCAGCGUGCUGGCUUCUUAGAGGGACUAUCGGCUCAAGCCGAUGGAA